UGAGGAAUAUUGCACAAUGGGCGAAAGCCUGAUGCAGCAACGCCGCGUGGGCGAUGAAGGCCUUCGGGUCGUAAAGCCCUUUUCUGAGGGAAGAGGAAGGACGGUACCUCAGGAAUAAGCCUCGGCUAACUACGUGCCAGCAGCCGCGGUAAAACGUAGGAGGCAAGCGUUAUUCGGAUUUACUGGGCGUAAAGCGCGUGCAGGCGGCUUUGCAAGUCGGACGUGAAAUCUCCCGGCUUAACUGGGAUGCGUCGUUCGAAACUGCAAGGCUUGAGGUUGGGAGAGGAGAGUGGAAUUCCCGGUGUAGUGGUGGAAUGCGUAGAUAUCGGGAGGAACACCAGUGGCGAAAGCGGCUCUCUGGCCCACACCUGACGCUGAGACGCGAAAGCGUGGGGAGCGAACGG
rnacentral:rRNA from 1 species